ACCUCUGCAAUAGGCGAAAGCCUGACAGGGUUACUCUGAGUGAUCUCCGUUAAGGAGAUCUUUUGGCACCUCUAAAAAUGGUGCAGAAUAAGGGGUGGGCAAGUCUGGUGUCAGCCGCCGCGGUAAUACCAGCACCCCGAGUGGUCGGGACGUUUAUUGGGCCUAAAGCAUCCGUAGCCGGUUCUACAAGUCUUCCGUUAAAUCCAGCUGCUUAACAGAUGGGCUGCGGAAGAUACUAUGGAGCUAGGAGGCGGGAGAGGCAAGCGGUACUCGAUGGGUAGGGGUAAAAUCCGUUGAUCCAUUGAAGACCACCAGUGGCGAAGGCGGCUUGCCAGAACGCGCUCGACGGUGAGGGAUGAAAGCUGGGGGAGCAAACCGGAUUAGAUACCCGGGUAGUCCCAGCUGUAAACGAUGCAGACUCGGUGAUGAGUUGGCUACAUGCCAUCUCAGUGCCGCAGGGAAGCCGUUAAGUUUGCCGCCUGGGGAGUACGGUCGCAAGACUGAAACUUAA
rnacentral:rRNA from 1 species